rnacentral:piRNA from 1 species
UGAAUAAUAAAUGAAGUCCAGGAGGUGGUA